AGGAGCCGUAUGCGAUGAAAGUCGCACGUACGGUUCUAGCGGGGAGGGGUUGAACUCCAAUCCAUUGAAGGAUUUGGCCUCUUAUCCGAC
rfam:Klebsormidium nitens mitochondrial DNA, contig: KFL_3731.